CGAUGCAACGCGAAAAACCUUACCUACCCUUGACAUGUUCGGAAUUCUGCAGAGAUGCGGAAGUGCUCGAAAGAGAACCGGAACACAGGUGCUGCAUGGCUGUCGUCAGCUCGCGUCGUGAGAUGUUGGGUUAAGUCCCGCAACGAGCGCAACCCUUAUCAUUAGUUGCUACGCAAGGGCACUCUAGUGAGACUGCCGGUGACAAACCGGAGGAAGGUGGGGAUGACGUCAAGUCCUCAUGGCCCUUAUGGGUAGGGCUUCACACGUUCAUACAAUGGUCGGUACAGAGGGCUGCCAACCCGCAAGGGGGAGCCAAUCCUUUAAAACCGAUCGUAGUCCGGAUUGAGGUCUGCAACUCGACCUCAUGAAGUCGGAAUCGCUAGUAAUCGCGGAUCAGCAUGUCGCGGUGAAUACGUUCCCGGGUCUUGUACACACCGCCCGUCACACCAUGGGAAGCGGGUUUACCAG
rnacentral:rRNA from 1 species